rnacentral:rRNA from 1 species
UACGUAGGCAGCAAGCGUUGUUCGGAGUUACUGGGCGUAAAGGGUGCGUAGGCGGUUGUUUAAGUUUGGUGUGAAAUCUCCCGGCUCAACUGGGAGGGUGCGCCGAAUACUGAAUGACUCGAGUGCGGGAGAGGAGAGUGGAAUUCCUGGUGUAGCGGUGAAAUGCGUAGAUAUCAGGAGGAACACCGGUGGUGUAGACGGCCCUCUGGACCGUAACUGACGCUGAGGCACGAAAGCGUGGGUAGCAAACAGG